rnacentral:rRNA from 1 species
CCUACGGGAGGCUGCAGUGAGGAAUAUUGGUCAAUGGACGAGAGUCUGAACCAGCCAAGUAGCGUGAAGGAUGACUGCCCUAUGGGUUGUAAACUUCUUUUAUAAAGGAAUAAAACGAGGCACGUGUGCCUUUUUGCAUGUACUUUAUGAAUAAGGAUCGGCUAACUCCGUGCCAGCAGCCGCGGUAAUACGGAGGAUCCGAGCGUUAUCCGGAUUUUUUGGGUUUAAAGGGAGCGUAGAUGGGUUGUUAAGUCAGUUGUGAAAGUUUGCGGCUCAACCGUAAAAUUGCAAUUGAUACUGGCAGUCUUGAGUACAGUUGAGGUAAGCGGAAUUCGUGGUGUAGCGGUGAAAUGCUUAGAUAUCACGAAGAACCCCGAUUGCGAAGGCAGCUUACUAACGUGUGACUGACAUUGAUGCUCGAAAGUGUGGGUAUCAAACAGGAUUAGAUACCCUUGUAGUC